rnacentral:rRNA from 1 species
UGGGGAAUUUUGGACAAUGGGCGAAAGCCUGAUCCAGCAAUGCCGCGUGUGCGAAGAAGGCCUUCGGGUUGUAAAGCACUUUUGUCCGGAAAGAAAUCCUUGGCUCUAAUACAGUCGGGGGAUGACGGUACCGGAAGAAUAAGCACCGGCUAACUACGUGCCAGCAGCCGCGGUAAUACGUAGGGUGCAAGCGUUAAUCGGAAUUACUGGGCGUAAAGCGUGCGCAGGCGGUUUGCUAAGACCGAUGUGAAAUCCCCGGGCUCAACCUGGGAACUGCAUUGGUGACUGGCAGGCUAGAGUAUGGCAGAGGGGGGUAGAAUUCCACGUGUAGCAGUGAAAUGCGUAGAGAUGUGGAGGAAUACCGAUGGCGAAGGCAGCCCCCUGGGCCAAUACUGACGCUCAUGCACGAAAGCGUGGGGAGCAAACAGGAUUAGAUACCCUGAUAGUCCACGCCCUAAACGAUGUCAACUAGUUGUUGGGGAUUCAUUUCCUUAGUAACGUAGCUAACGCGUGAAGUUGACCGCCUGGGGAGUACGGUCGCAAGAUUAAAACUCAAAUGAAUUG